GACCUCGGAUCAGGUAGGGAUACCCGCUGAACUUAAGCAUAUCAAUAAGCGGAGGAAAAGAAACCAACAGGGAUUGCCUCAGUAACGGCGAGUGAAGCGGCAAGAGCUCAAAUUUGAAAGCUGGCUCCUUCGGGGUCCGCAUUGUAAUUUGCAGAGGAUGUUUCGGGAGCAGCCCCCAUCUAAGUGUCCUGGAACGGACCGUCAUAGAGGGUGAGAAUCCCGUAUGGGAUGGGGUGUCUGCGCCCAUGUGAAACUCCUUCGACGAGUCGAGUUGUUUGGGAAUGCAGCUCCAAAUGGGUGGUAAAUUUCAUCUAAAGCUAAAUAUUGGCCGGAGACCGAUAGCGCACAAGUAGAGUGAUCGAAAGAUGAAAAGCACUUUGAAAAGAGAGUUAAAAAGCACGUGAAAUUGUUGAAAGGGAAGCGC
rnacentral:rRNA from 1 species